rnacentral:rRNA from 1 species
UGGGGAAUAUUGCGCAAUGGGCGGAAGCCUGACGCAGCGACGCCGCGUGGGGGAUGAAGGCCUUCGGGUUGUAAACCUCUUUCAGCAGGGACGAAGCGGAAGUGACGGUACCUGCAGAAGAAGCGCCGGCUAACUACGUGCCAGCAGCCGCGGUAACACGUAGGGCGCAAGCGUUGUCCGGAAUUAUUGGGCGUAAAGAGCUCGUAGGCGGUCUGUUGCGUCCGCCGUGAAAUCUCGGGGCUUAACCCCGGGCCUGCAGUGGAUACGGGCAGACUAGAGGUAGGUAGGGGAGAAUGGAAUUCCUGGUGUAGCGGUGAAAUGCGCAGAUAUCAGGAGGAACACCGGUGGCGAAGGCGGUUCUCUGGGCCUUACCUGACGCUGAGGAGCGAAAGCGUGGGGAGCGAACAGGAUUAGAUACCCUGGUAGUCCACGCCGUAAACGUUGGGCGCUAGGUGUGGGAUCCUUCCACGGAUUCCGUGCCGCAGCUAACGCAUUAAGCGCCCCGCCUGGGGA